rnacentral:rRNA from 1 species
GACGAACGCUGGCGGCGUGGAUUAGGCAUGCAAGUCGAACGGUAGAGUGCUUUCGGGCACUUGAGAGUGGCGAACGGGUGAGUAACACGUAGGUUAUCUACCCUCAAAUUGGGGACAACCCAGGGAAACUUGGGCUAAUACCGAAUGAGUGCAGCAGCAAUGUUGCAUAAAAGAUGGCGUAAGCUGUUGUUUGAGGAUGAGCCUGCGCUCUAUUAGUUAGUUGGUGAGGUAACGGCUUACCAAGGCGAUGAUAGAUAGGCGGCCUUAACGGGUGGUCGCCCACACUGGGAUUGAGAUACGGCCCAGACUCCUACGGGAGCUG